GUUCGAUUCUCUCUCUCCCCGGCGAUUCUCUCACCGAAAUCAAUUCUCUCUCUCACCGGCGACUCCUCAUUCAUAGUUAGAGUUUUUUUUUCCAUGGAGAGCUCCCAAUCCAAACGAACGCCCACUUAUUCUCAAAAUAAACACGGCACAAUCACUUAGUGAAGUGGAUGUAGAAGAAUUGUAUGCUACUUUGCCUUCGGGUAAGAAGUUAAAUGUGGGGCGGGAAUAUCUACUUAAUAGAAAGAAUAAGAGGACAAAACCUUAUUGGGAAGAUUAUUUCAUUGAGUAUGUUGAAGGCGGGAGACUGCGAGCCGAAUGUAAGUACUGUGACAAAACCUAUGCUGCUGAUGGAAACUUUAAUGGUUCAAAAAAAUAUUAAAAAAAUGCAUAAUCAUGUCUUAGUAAUCCUACCAAUGUAAAUAAGGGCAAAGAAAAACAAACUAAAUUGUUUUUUAAUACAGAAAAUGAUAGUGGCAAAUUUGGGAAUGUUAACUUAAAAGAGAUUGGGGAAGCAUUGAUUUACAUGAUUAUUGUUGAUGAGUUACCAUUUAAACAUGUAGAGAAGCCAUGUUUUAAGCACUUAAUGCAAGUUGCAUGUCCACAAUUUACUAUUCCCUUAGCUCUCGUGUGACCAUUGCUCGUGAUUGUUUAAAGCUCUACUAUAGUGAGAAAGAAAGAUUGAGAGAAAUGUUUAAAACUUGUCAAAGAAUUUCUGUGACCUCAAUACAACGAAUCAAUUAUAUGUGUCUUACGGCUCAUUUUAUUGAUAGUGAGUGAAAAUUGCAUAAUAAGAUAAUCAAUUUUUGUCCAAUAUCAAGUCACAAAGGAGAGGCUAUUGGAAAAGCCGUCGAGGCAUGUUUAGAGCAUUGGGGUAUUGAGGAUAAGCUUUUUACUGUCACUGUUGAUAAUGCCUUUUCAAAUGAUGUUGCUUGUAUGCACUUAAGUAGAAUGGUUAGAAGAAUCGGAUGUAUUAAUGAUGGAAAAAAUCUUCAUGUUAGAUGCAUUGCUCAUAUCAUUAAUCUAAUUGUGUGGGAUGGAAUAAACAACACGGUGUGUGUAUUGAUAGAGUUUGAAAUGCCGUGAAAUAUGUGAAAAACUCUCCCGCUAGAAUAUCUAGGUUCAAAGAUCUUGUGCAAAAAGCAAAUAUAGAUUCCAAAGCUUCCUUGUCUUUUGAUGUCCCCACUGGUUGGAAUUCUACAUUCACAAUGUUGGACACAACUUUGAAAUUUCAGCGUGUUUUUAGUGGGUUAUCUCUUCCUGAUGGAGAGGAUUUGAAUGAUAAUUAAUGAAAGACCUCCCGAAGAAGAAGAUUGGAAAAAAGUACAGAGAUUGACUUUGUUUUUGAAGGGGUUCUAUGUUUUGACUAAACGUAUCUUUGGCUCUCAUUAUGUGACAAGUAAUAGAGGUUUGAGUGAGAUUGCUUCCAUGUAAAAUAUGCUGAAUAAGUGGGAGAAAAGUGGGGAUUUGAACUUUCAAGCUAUGGCUAUUGCAAUGAAACAAAAGCUUGAUAAGUAUUGGGGGAAUGUGAAUAAAAUGAACAAGCUUAUUUAUGUUGCUUCUAUUCUUGACCCUCAUUGCAAGUUCAUACUUGUUGAAUUGACACUAAUUGAUAUGCAUGGAAAAGAAAAGGGUUCGAAACUUGCCAAUGAGGUGAAGGAAUUCACUUACACUUUAUUUGAUGAAUAUAGAAACAUGUACACUUCUUCUAUUUCUAAAAGUAACCAACAAGGAGAUUCGAUGCCAAUAGAUGUUCGAUGUUGAUUUUGAUGUUGGUGAUGAUAGUGCCUUUGGUAUAGAAGGGGGUGCCGAUUACAUGAAAAACCUUAGAGAAGUGGCAAAAAGAUUAGAGGGGACAAGUGGGUAUGUGAUGAACGAGUUCGAUAGGUUCUUACAUGAACGCAUAGGGCUGGAGGAAGAAGAACUAGAUGCAUAAACUUGAUGGGUUAUUAAUGGUCAUCGCUAUCCGGUUCUUAAGUGCAUGGCACGUGACAUCCUAGCAGUCCCACUGUCUACAGUUGCGUCUGAAUCCGCUUUUAGUACGGGAAGUCGUACUCUAGAUCCAUUUAGGAGCUCUCUAACACCUAAGAUGGUUCAAGCCCUUAUUUGUUCACAAGAUUGGUUAAGAGCAAAGGGAUUGCUAAUUAUUGAUGUGGAGGAAACUUUGAAAGAGUUAGAGGAAAUCGAGAAAGAUGUGCAAUGUGGUGAUGUAGACAAUGAAGUCAUUUUUGUACACUCGUUGGUUUGAUUCGUUUGAAGCGUGUGAUUGACGGGAGAUAAGGGGUCAAGCAUACAAUCUAAUAUAAUCUAUUUUGGACUUUAUGUAACUUGUUAAAUAUGCUUUAUACUAUGUUUUGAUGUAUAUAAUAAGUAAAUAACUAUGUUUUGGACUAAAAAGUUUGUCCAAAAGAAGGUCCCGAAAUAGGUCCAUAAACAGGUCCAAAAUAGGCCUUUAUAAAGAAAGAAAAGCAAACCGGUCUAAACAGGUUUAAACCUGGACCGGACCUAAUUUUUCAGGUCUGGACCAAAACCAGACCGGCAGAUUCAGGUCUAUUAUCGAUCACCGUAAACCGGUUCAAGUUCAAUGCGUUUUAGGUCCGGUCCGAUCUGGAUCUGAACCGGUAUUCACCCCUAGUCCUAAGUGUAUGCAACUAUGCAUGUUUCUUGUAAUUUAAUCAUCAAAUAAAGUCGUACG